rnacentral:rRNA from 1 species
AUUGAACGCUGGCGGCAGGCCUAACACAUGCAAGUCGAACGAGUGGCGGACGGGUGAGUAAUGUCUGGGACACUGCCUGAUGGAGGGGGAUAACUACUGGAAACGGUAGCUAAUACCGCAUACCAUCGGAUGUGCCCAGAUGGGAUUAGCUAGUAGGUGGGGGAAAGGCUCACCUAGGCGACGAUCCCUAGCUGGUCUGAGAGGAUGACCAGGCACACUGGCACUGUGAGUCGGUCCAGACGCCUCAGGCAGGCAGCAGUGGGAAAUAUUGCACAUGGGGCGAAAGCCGGAUGCAGCCAUGCCGGGUGUAUGAUGAAGGCCUUCGGGUUGUAAAGUACUUUCAGCGGGGAGGCGUUACCCGCAGAAGAAGCACCGGCUAACUCCGUGCCAGCCGCCGCGGUAAUUC